ensembl:lncRNA
GGGCUGACUCGGUGCCCAGCAGAGGUUGGGGCGCUGCCAGCACGGCAGGAGGUCGGGGCCAGACAGCCAAUUCGAGGACAAGGAUGGCUCUGCAGAGCCUCUUCGAGCCCCCCCCAAUCCCCCAGUGCCCCGUCCAGAGUCCAUUGCGGCAGGCCUGGAGGGUGCCAGCGCAAGGGGCGCCCCUCUUCAGGGAACGAAAUGUGUGCUAUGCCAGCCCCCCUCGCUGUCCUUAAGCUGCGCCUGCCACCAUGCUAUUUGUGGCAACGACAGAGCGUGCGCUAGGAGGACCUAGCCCAGGAAGGAAACUUCAAACACGCAUCCCAAUUACGCAGGGGAGCUGGAACCCAGGCCCUACUUGGCCCUUUCACAAGCUUCUCUUAAACUCACGCUUGCUAAAUAACCCUGUAACUGUGGCGAACUUUGCCCCACCCUCCAGACUCCCAUAUAACCUUCCCACUUGCCCACCAGCAAGCCCAACUUUUAUUGCUGGCAGUGACUUUCCUGCUAGCAGCCUCCAGAGUUUGCAGGAAUCCUCGGAUUGUGGUCUUUGCUUGCCUCCCUCAUCAGACUGGGAGGGACUUUGCCUUCCCCACAUUUGUGGCUGUACCUGGUCGGCUCACAGGAAGGUCGCACGCAGACCAGACCUGCUUCUGCCUGGGAUUAAGCAUCGGUCCUGAACCCAGGCCGACCAGGGCUGCAGCUGCAAACAUCCAGGCCGGUCACACGGAGGCCCUGAAGUGUGGGCACAGGAACUGGGCCUUCAUCCUAUGGAUGUGGGGAACCUGGAUAGCCACUGAGCAGGGCAGUGACUGGCGCAAACACCGGGGACUUUCUAUCCACUGUCCUUGUCAGCCCAGAGCCUGGAGGAAGGAGCAGGGGACAGCAUCCUGAGAUUUGAUCUCCACAGAUCGCAGAACACUGCUACCAACAUGGCCAAAGCUGAGGGUAGCCUCGCCCUAACCAAGGACACUGUUUGAGUGGAAAUGACAGUGCCCUGUGCGGCACACAGACCCUGUCUCUUCUGAGUAUUUCUGUGAUGAGCGCCUGGCGGCAAGUCCAAAUGACAAUUCAGUAACAGAUUCAGAAAACUGCAAGCAAAACAAAACAGACGGAACAACUAUAGAAAAAAGCCAACUUGUUCAGCGCUCAGCAUCUGCUUGCGGAACCCAACCGGUGGACACAUGACCAUCGGCUGCUCACGUUGUGAGUCGCACUCAGCUUCCCUUGCUCCAUGCCCUGGAAAAGCACGCAGGAGCAACCUGAGCCUGGACUCCCCUCUGGCCCCUGAAGAGCCCAGCUGUCCUUCUCUGGGAAACCUCCCAGGGCUUGCAGGUCAGCUGAAAGUCACCCCGGGCCUCGCCAAGGCCUCUGUGUCCCCUCUGUCCCUGCACAGGGGGUCUGGCUUCCUUCUCUGCUCCUCUCUAGUCCCCCCAUAGAAUCACCUGAGGCUUGGGUCUGAAAUUCUGCACUGGAGAACCGACCCUUCCUGCUGCUCUGGGGAGAAAGUUAACCUCAGGAUGCUCUGGGAAAUGACCGAACCAAGGGGCCCAAAGGCUGGCUGCCCACGGGGCCUCAGUGCUUGCCAGGAUGUGACCCUCAGACUGAGAAUGUGAAGCCAGCCCUGGUCUCCCAGUCAGCCGCUCCUGUCCUCUUUGGGCUGGAGCCCAGGAGUCCAAGGGGAGGGGCUGCCUGGCAGGAUCCGAGGCCCAGUUGGAGCUGUCUGGCCUGGGGGCUCCCCGAGGACAGGGUGGGGCAUCCUCUUUGGUCUAGAAGGUAGGCUGCUCCUCCCCACCUGCUGUGUUCCAAGUUGGAGCUCAGAUCCUCACUGCAGGGUGACCUUGGCCCAUUGCCUCUCCUCCCUGAGCCUUCGUGUUUGCCCUUGGAGGGCCACAGUGAAAGUCCCACUUCCUGACUGACUUCCCAACCCUGCCUGCCCUGCCCUGUCCGGCCUCACCUGCUUACCCCACCACCCCAAGUUCUGUCCCUGGACACACCACAUCUGCUUGGCAGCCCGCAGGCCUGGGUACUGCUCUUUGGACUUUCCCCUCCAGAGCUCCACUUCCAUUCUACCACUUUGCAUUGCUUUUUUUCUGCAAGGUGUCUCCUCCUCACUUCUGUCUCUUUUUAAGUUUAUCUUGGGCACCUCCUCCACCAGGAAGGCCUCCCUGAUCUUCCCUCUGUGGAAUGUGCUUCCUGAUGACCCCAUGUAUUAUAUUUGUUUGCUGGUCGUCUCCCUCCCUAGGCUGGAAGCUGCUUGGGAAUCUCAUGAGAUUCUUCAUAACAGUAACAGCAGGAAUGAUGGGAUAAAAAAAAAAUCAUUGGGCCUUUAUAAUAACAACUGAAUCCAAAACAGGUCACCUGUGGAUGCUCAAAUGAGUGGGUAAAAGUUUGAGCAGCAAGAUAUUUAAAAAGCCUCAAAGUACCUCAAGAACAAAAUGAAACAAGGUAACUUUUCAGUAGAGUCUGACAGACCUGGUCUUUACCAAGUGAUCCUAAGAAUGGGACACAUCUCAGGUCCUCCUGAUAGGACCCCCGGGAAGACAUGACCCCCGCUGUGGUCAUUGGCCUGAACAGGGAGCUUUCAUCAUGAUGGACAUUCUACAAAUUCACCAGUCUGUGCUCCUCAAACUGUGCUGCCCUGAAAUGAACUCUUUCCAGAAACAGGAGCCAGGCCUGCUGGGAGGUCAGAGUGGAGAGGGGGACCAGGGCCCUGUGUCACAGAGUCGGCAGCUGCUGUCACCUGCACCACAGCCCUGGUGUGCAACAUGUCUCGGCUCUACUCUCUGAGUCCUGCAGGUCAGUGUGAGAACUAGUACUCCAGGGCUCCUUCCUCCCAAAGUACUAGGGAAGAGCCCGGCGCUUCGGUUUUCCAGCUCCUGGAGGCCUCCGAGUCCCUUGGCUGGCGACCCCGUCCUCCUGCACGGCAUCUCUGGGUCUCUGACUUCCCUCCUUUGACCUCACUCAGGCACUGUGACCCACUGGGCCCCCUGAGGCGAUCACGGAUCGCUGCCAUCUCAGACCCUUAAUUUGGUGGUUGUAGAGUCUUUUGGCCAUGGACAGUGACCUGUUUGGAGAACUGGGGACUUGGAUGUGAAUGUCUCAGAGGCCAUAUUCCGUACCAUUAGAGUUCAAAGCAUAGCCACCGAGGCAGGCGACUGUGCCGUUUGCUCCCUCUGGGGCAUUGGGCAUAUUGCUUCUCCAGCUGAGUUCCCCCACAUGUGAGGAAGGGAGAGUAAAAGUUGUCAGAGGGUCAGAGAGGUGGCAUCUGUGCUGUCUGCAGGGCGGGGCAGGCACAUGGGAGAUGCUGGGUGGAAGCUUGUGUUUGUGCAGCCAUUGGGGUUAGAACCAUGGGAAGAGGGAGUGGAAGGAGGGAAGGAGAAGGGGGAAUAGAAGGAGAGGAAUCAGGGUAAGAGGAGGUGAAGAAGAAAAAGGUGAAUGAAGAGGAGGAGGAGGAAUAAAAGGAAGAGGAGGAAGGAUUGUCCACAGAAACAGGAAGCCACUUCCAAUGGGUAAAGUUCUGGGGACCUCCGAGGGGCCGGGCUUUACUGGCCAUGGCCCAAGACAGGGUCACCCUUUCAGCAGCAGGACCAGGUGUUGAGGAGUCACCAGGCCACUUCCCUAACAUCCAGCCAGGCUGCUUUGCCUGGCUCCCGAGUGGUAAACUGGCAGCCCAGAGGAGAAGCCCAGUCCAUGCCCAGGGCCUGCAGGAGGGUCAUCUCCUAGGACCUUGGGUGGCUCCUGGUCCAACUGCCACUGUGGGGGGACACAGAGGCCACAGAUGCCUGGGCUGUGGGUGGUGGUGGUGAUGUGUCCAGAGUCUCCCUGCCACCCACCCAUGUGGCAUCUUCAUUUGGCUCCAUGGUGCUGAGCAGGGGCAGACCACUUGGACCAGAAGGCAGGACAGCUUCCAUCUGUUCCCGUCCUUGCUGAGUCCAAAGAAGAUCUCACCCACAGACAGAGACCAACCCCGGGAUCCAGGAGCAAGGGACAGAAGGGUAGGGAGCUGGCAGGAGGUGGCCAUGGCCCUGUGGCCAGCCAGGGCUCACUGGAUGGGUCCAGUCUAUAGUAAAGAGGGCUUCCGUCACUGUAUGCUGCCUGUGCGCUCACUGGACAGUCACUUUUGGGUUGAGAUGACAGGAUCGGAACCCCGGCUCCACCAUCCCAAGCCUGCAUUAGCACAGAGCAUAGCAGAUUCAUCUUCCAGCAAGGACAAGAACACUGGCCCCUGCAGGCUCUGUGGCCUUGAGCUCAUAUGCCUUCUUCUAUCCGUGCGUGGCUCCCCGAGGGGCCCCAGGACAUGCAAGUAGGGCCAAGCUCCAGGCGUCCCCAAGGCCAGCUCUCCUUUCUCCAUGGCAGAUGGGAAGACGAGGGCGGGGUGGGAGCACAACUCCUCCAGCCAAGUCCCUGCUGGAGAGUGGGACUGAGGGACACUCCUGGCCUGGGGUGCGUGUGUGUACGUGUAUGUGUGUGUGCUGAGUCUGCCGGUGGGGAUGGAUAUGUACAAACGUGUAUUUGUGUGGCACCUGUGUGCACACGCAUGUACGUGUGUGUGUGUGUGUGUGUGAGAGUGUGCAGCUCAUCUUGGACACACACAUGGGUCUGGGGCCCGAGGCGGCUGGCAGCUUCGACCUCUGCUGCCAGGUCCCCGAUUCUCCAAGCGAAUGCCCCUCGCCUGUCUUGGUUAAGGCCGUUCCAAAGCUGGCUGCGGUGUCUCAUGGGGCUCCGUCCUCCAGUCACCCACAGAAUUGUCCCUGCCCCAAUCCUGCUGCCCUGGGUCGGCUGACUGUACCCUCCUGGGCCUUGGUUUUAAGGCUCGGCUGUCCAUUUCCCCACCAUUUCGUUCACAGAGGAACAAAGAUGGAAUUGUGGUGACAUUUACCUUUUCCUUCCCUGAUUCCAGCCCUGUCACUAGGUCCACAGGCUGCCUGGGAGUUCAGAAGCAGCUUCUGGGAGCAGCCUGGGGCAGAUGGUGUGGGUGCUGUCCACAGUGCCCCGGGUGCCCAUCCUGUCCUGGGUCACCCAGGGUCGGCACCCUUGGCUUCUCCCUCUCUGCAGCCCUUGGCUCAGGCCUGAGCUGUCCCCACACCCUGUCCACCCUCCUGGGGUGCUUCCCAGGCCACUACCUGGCCCUGCCAACCUCACCCGAGCCAGCCAGCACCUCCUAGCUGUCUCUGAGCCUCCCACCGAGCUGAGCUGGGGUGUCCCACUGGACCCACAAGCUGCCCUGAAGCUCCCGCCCCAUGCCCAGUCAGAGGUGGGAUGGGCUGCAGUGCUGUGCACAGCUCCUGGCAGGGUCACCUGGAGACCCAGCCCUGUGUGCUGCCCACCUCUGUGAGGCGCCCCACUCAAGUUGUGUGCCCGACGCGUGGGCUCAUCCCACCACCCCCACGACCUGCUCAACACAGCAGUGGCCCCAGAGACUUAAGGGACUCACCUGCCCACACCCGGGACUCUUGAGGACCUGAGACCUGGGGACCCAGCCCCAGCUGAGGGUCCCCUCACCUCCCGGGGAGAGGCCUGCAGUCCCAAGGCCUCUUCUGGUUGCUCCCCAGGUGUGCGGGGUGCAGAAGGUGUUGUGGGACAAGGGAAUCUCGGGCUCCAGGUCUAGGGAGUAGAGGCCAGAGCUGGCAGCCAGCCUAGGGUCCUGGGAGGGACGUCCACCUCGUGGGCCACAGAGGCCACCAACACUGUAGGCAGCCAGGGGAGAGCUGAGCAGGGUGUGCAGGGUGGCUUGGGGUAUAGGAAGUGGGGUAAGGAUUGCCAGGAGUUGGGGUGCAGGGGGGCAAGUCCCAGAAGGAGAUACUGGUGCUUUCCAGAUGGGGGCACAGCCAGAGGACACCCUGGCAGGGCAGGGCACGGGACAGAUGGUACAGUGGGUGGAGCCCUGUCCUCAGGCUCACCCCUGUGUACCUUGGACCCAGUUCUGGGGUGAGGAAACUGAGGCACAGAGGCAAGAUGGGAACUCAGCUCCAGGCAGAGCUGCCUCUGUGGAGUAGGAGGAGCUGGGUGCAGGCAUGAGGCCAGGCUUGGCAGGGAUGGGUGGCUUGGGGGCAGCCAGACGGAGAGGCAGGGGUGGGAGCCCAGGGUCCUCGCUGGGGCACCAGGCUUGGUGCUAGGACCCUGCCUGGAAGGACCUGGAUGGAAGUCUGGUGUGGCGAGCCCAGAGGGCUCUGGCUCUGGCAGCAGGGGACAGAAGCCGCUCCUCCGUGUGCUCACCCAGCCCCAACACUCCCCAUAGCCCUCCUUGGCGCAUGUCCAUGGACCCCGGACUGCAGUGCCCAUCCUGUCUGUAGGGCAGAGGCUUGAGUCUGGGGCCUGGGUCACUGCUCCUGGCAGGCCAGGCACUCAGUGACCUCAGCUGGUCACAAAGCUGCCCACCCAGGUGCCUCCCUGGGGGAGAACACACAGAAGCCUUCGCCAGCCCUGCCCCCCGGGACAGCUGAGGUGACCUCGGGCUCCUGCUAGAAAUCCAAACUGCCCUGAACCCCAGCCCAGAGGCUGCCAUAGCCCGGGCACCCCUGCAACCCAGAGCAGGAGGAGGCUGCAGCCUGGUGUCUGCCCUCCAGGAUGCCUCGUCUGCACAGAGGCCCCGGUGUGGUACAGGAGCCCGCGCUGUGACCUUGGCCUUGGCUCGGACUUUGGACUCCUAGGGCCACAUCACCCAGAUACUGGGCAAGGAGGCUAGCUGUCCAGUGGCCCCAGGGAUGGCGGUGCUUGUGACACUGUGUUCACAUCUGCUCUGACCCUGAGUAGCCCCUGGUCACCAGGCAGAGGAGCCGGCUGUGCCAGGAGGCAGAGCUUGGGCAACAGCCACCCUGCUCUGCUGGGCCAGGGACGUGCACCCAGGACUGCUGUGUCACCUCCCACCCAGCCUCCAUGAGCGAGGCCUCAACCAGCUGUGGUCAAAUGUACGGCUGCUUCACACACUGCCCAGCCGGGCUGGGCACACAGAAAGCGCAACCACCAGGUGAACGUCGGCUGAACCACCUCUGUGGCAGGGUUGCUGGGACUCUUCCCAGGUGGCCCAAUGGCUGAGGGGCCCACGUGGAGGCCAUGCCAACCUUACCGUCUGGGGGCCUGCAGCCCCCAGCCUGUCCUGUCCACACCUGUCUGUCCCCAGCCACUCCCCCCUCUCUUCUGUUUCCAGGGUCCAUGCUGAGCACAGAGCUCGAGCCCCGCCUGGCCCCGGCCACCCUCCCUUGCCCUUUGCCCAUGCUGUUCCACUGCUGUAACGAUGCCCUUCCUGCCUUGCUGCUGGGGACCCCAGAUCUGAUCCUUGCCAUGAAGUGCCAGUCCCCUCAGUGCCCUCACUGCCAUGGCCAUGGAUGGGGGCAGCAGGCACCUCCAGAGGCAGUUCUGCCCUGCCCUGACACCCACUAAAUCCCUCUGUGGCUCCCGUGGCCCCAGGGACCCCCAGUGGUGCCCACCCACCUGUGGUCUCUGGAUCCUGUGCCUGCCAGGAGCUUCCCACCUGUGGGUCCCGUGCCUGCUUCCCUCACCCCUGCACCCUGCCUCACCUGGGAACAUGGGUCAGUGGUCCCGUUGCUGCCACCCACAGGAAUCCCUCCCUGACCUCUGGGGCAGGAGGUCAAAGUCAUCUGCACAGCCAGAUGCCGAUUCCCGCCAGCCAGACAGACAGACCUCCCUGCUGCCAGGGGGAAGGGCAGGGACACCUGAGGAUCACACGCAGGGCACAGUGGUCACCACAGCUCCCCAGUGUGCUUGCUAUUUUGUGUACGACCUUGGGGCUGCUUCUCCCUCAGGUCAAUGUGCACAGCUGUGAAACGGGGAGCUGCCCUCGCUGACAGUGACCUGUACUGGGGACCAGCACACUUGCAAUGACACCGCUGGGGCUGACUGUCACUCAGCUGCGGUGACCUUGGCUUGACUGCACCAGCCUGUCCCUGGCUGUGAAGGGACAGUGGAAGGAGCUGGGGCUGGACGCGCCAUCCAGCCAGGCCCACGGGAGCGGGAAGCUCCUGGCCCAGCCCCAUGGGCAGGUGGCCUCAAUGGGGGGGGGUCACAGGGAGGCAGGGAUGGCGCCAGGGGGCAUAGCCCACUCCCACCCUCCCUCCACCACUCCCCUUGGGACGCUCACACAGGCCCAGGACCCGUCACCACCUGGCAGCCCAGCUGUCCCCAGAGCUGGUGUGGGGCCAGGCCGAGGCAGGAGCAAGGGGCCUUCGUCCUGCCUUCCUCUGUCCCCUGCUCUGCACAGCGGGGACCACUGGACCCCGUCAUGCCUGGCGCAGAUCUCAGCAGGCAUGAGGGCACUUGUGUGGGGCCUAGGCCACCACAUAUCAGCCCAGCACCUCAGACCUCUUGUGUCUUGGUCCCCAUUCCUGUCCCCUCUCCACCCAGGGAAUCUUCUGUCACCAAACGCCACCUGCACCAGCACCAUUCUGAGCCCUGGCCUUGCCCUGUCCAAAGGGGCCCCCUCUGUCACCGAUUCCGGGAUAGGCCAAUCCUUGAGGGGGACACAGAGCUGGGGAGCAGAGAAGAGAAGGCAGCAGGCCACCUGGCCAGGGCCCGGUGAGCCCAGGGUCACUGAGAAGAGGGCUCAGCAGUCCCCUCAGCCAAGGUCACUCCCGUGUCAUCACAGCAUGUGUCCCACUGCUCGCUAUGGCCAAGGCCAGAGAGGGUGGUGUCUUAGGUGUUUUCUUGUCACUGAGAUACAAUAUGGACACUGAAACUUAAAGGAGAGGUUUAUUUUGGCUCACGUUGUAGUUCACAGUCGGCUGCCUCCAAGGCAAGGCAGCAGGGCAGAGGGCCCUGGCAAGGCAAGCUGCUUGGGGCAUGGUAGGCAGGAGGCAGAGCACCAAGGGAAGAGCAGGCAGGCAGGUGCACCCUUCCAGGCCACGCCCCUGCGUCGGCCUCCUUCGAUCAGACUUCGCCUCCCACAGCGACUGGGCUCUGCAUCCUACAGUCCGGUCAGCUUCCCGAAGCCCCGCCUGUCAGCACAGGAGGCUUCAGGGGACAUCUAGAUCUGAGGACUGAGGACACACAGCCCACUGACCUGCACACUGGUGUAUGAUCUGAGGCAGGGGCUGCUGGGGACAGGUGCGGAGAUCUGAAGUCAGAUCCCACCGGACAGGAAUGGGGGCUCAGCCUCCCACGCCAGGGCCUGAAUAUACAUUCCUGGGAUCCUCUGAGCCUUGAGCACAUGGGGUGAGGGCGGGUGGGCACCCUGCCCCUCCCCAGGCAAGCCAGUGGGGGCUGCCAGGGGACCUGCCAUGUGUUCAGCCUUCCAGCCGCGCCAUAGGGGCAGGGUGUUUCCAGGCAGUGGCGGGAAGCGUCAGACCAACAGCCCUCGGGAAGACCCUCUGCAGCCUGUGCUCAGCUCUUCCCAGCUCCAGCCUGGUCUUUCCCACCCAUGGUUCGGGUUGGCAAGGCUGGACCCACGCCUGUGCCCCCAGGGCGGCUGGUGACCCGGCAGUGCCCCUUCCUGGGCGCAAGGCUGGGGACACAGAAGGGGGGACUUGAGUUCCCUUGGGAAGUCGCCUGCUGGCCCAGCCCCUGCCAAGGGGUGGUGAAGCCCAGGUGAGGGCCAUGGCUGAUGGCAGAGGGUGGGGAUGGGAGGACAGAGACAACACAGCGAUGUGGCAGUGUCGCCUACUGUGGGAAGGGGCCCCUAGCAUGGCACAGUGCCCCUGCCCGGCCGUGCCCUGUUCGAGUCAGCCUGAGGUUUGGGGCAAGGGCUUCCCAACUUGCUCCAUCCCGGCUGAGCCUGAGGCCCCUUCCUGGGCCCCCAUGUCCCCAUCUGUCCCAUGAGUGCUGCCCUGCCCCAGCCAGGUCAGCGUGGGAACGGGGCUGGAAGUCCACAUGGUCAGGAGGGGUUCCUAGGGGAGGGGCCAUGAGGCAGUCAGGGCCUGGCAGGAUCAGGACAGACACACAGCUCCUGCUGUGCCCCCCACCCGGGAUGUGGCUCUCUUCUUCCACCCACAAACUCCUAUUCAUCCUUCAAAGCCUGGAUCCAGGCUCACACAUUUAUCUGUCUGACAGACGGUCACUGAGUGUCACCUCUGCUCAGAGGGUGCUGGGUAUGGAGACACAGAGGACAAGGACUUCAGCUGGGCUCCACAGCUUUGUUCACCCUGAGGUGUCACCACAGCAGCUGCUGUCUGUGGACCUGUGGGUCUCCCCGUCCAGACUGGACUCCUCAGAGACUGCCCAGGUGCGGCUGGCACGGCAGCUCUGAGAUGUAGCUGUGGGGGGCUGGGAAGGGGCUGCCCCAUGCCAGGCUCCAGCUCCCUGGCUGGGUCCCAAGGACACACUUGUGUUGGGCCCGGGUGGUCCUGACAGGUGUCUUCUGGGCUGCAGAGUCCUGGGCAGGGCUUGCUACCUUUCUGAGCUACAAUUUCCACAUCCUGAAGUAGAGAGAAAUAGCUGGGCACAGUGGUGGAGGCCUGCAAUCCUAGCACUCAGGAGGCUGAGACAGGAGGAUCUCAACUUCAAGCCUGGGCAAUGCAGUGACUUAGUGAGAUCCUGUCUCAAAAUGAAACAUAAAAAAGGGCUGGUAGAGGGCUAGCUCCGUGGUAUAGGGUUUGAUUCCCAGAACCAGAGGGGAAAGAGAAGAUGGGAAGAGAGAGAAUGUCCUGGCGGUGGGACCAGAUGCCGUGGCCGGGCGCCCUUGGGGUACAAGGGUGCUGGUAGCAGUCAGCAGUGGCCUGGGCAGAGGCUGCCAGAGGUGAGGGCCAGAUGCGGGAGCAGGGUAGGUGCACACUGUGGGGUGCCGUGGCCUCCUGCGGGGGGAGCCUGGCUAGGAGGCGGGGUCUACAGACUUGGGGGUUUGGGCUGAGUCUGGUUGAGGAACUGGGAGGGGAGGAUGCAGGCCCGCCAGGCUCCGGGUAGGGGACACCAUCCAGGAGCAGGGCCUGGCUGAGCGGCAACAGUGGCCGUGCCCUUGUCCCCCUCGGGACCACACCCAGGCCAGAGAGGUGGCCUUGCUCAGCACUCCCAGGCAAGGUGCCCCCAUGCCCCACACUGGGCACAGGUCAGCCAGGCCAGGGACUGGGGAACUGGGCACUGCCAGCUGUUAUGCCCGCCCACCUGGACCCCGCAUUGCACUCCGCCCUCUGCAUGAGCUGACGCUCUGGGGGUCCCGGGAUCUGAGGGACCUCCUCGGGGAAGGAUCGCAGCAGGCUCCAGCUGGGUGGUGACCGGGCUGUCACCACGCCUGUCCCCUGCACUGCUGUGUGACCUGACAUGCACUGACCUCUCUGGUCCUUAGCUUCCUUGUCUGGAGCACAGAGAUGGGACAAGUGACGGCAGCCUCUGUACUGGGGACAGGUGAGACUCGCAGGACCCCUGAGAGGCCGCCUCCCCGCCCCCCCAACUCCAACAGUGGUGGACAGCAGCGGUUCCCUCGGCCCUUCUCUGGCCAUCUUAUCUCCUGCUGGGUGUGACUCUGGGCCACACAGCCUCCCAUAGCCUGGCCUGAGCCAGCACCCUCCACUCUGCAGGGUGACCCUGCCGGGGACAGUCUCGUCCACAGGGGAUGACAGUCCUAUGCGUGUGUUCUGAAGUCUUCCCUGCUCCUCCCUCCAGUCAGCAGUGUCCCCGGGCUGCAGCCAGAGGAGAGGGGACCCCUGCUCUCCUGAACCAGCCCCCACCUCCUCACUCUUAAGGGGGGGUCCUCGGCCUGGGGUCAAGGCUGCACCCCUGUCACUGCCAACCUGCAGUGCCGCCCACCACAUUUCCCUGGGCUCCGAGCGCCAUCUGCUGGUCAAACCUGGAGCCACUGUGCCCCAGGCCACAGCAGGCGGUGUCUCAGACCCUCCUCAGGGUGCAUACAGAGAAACAGGCUCACAAGAGGGGUUAGGAGUCCCCCGGUCCCUUGUGGAGGCAGGGCCUAAACCAGGGAUGGAGGACAGGGCUCCGGAGGCCCAUCCUGUGCCUGUUGGCCUUGGGAGAUACAGGGACUCUGGGCCAGCUCCACCAGGAUGGGAAGUCCAUCCGGAGUGCUACACCCCAAGGGCUGAGUGUGCCCCCAGUGGUGGCCUGCUCUGCCACCCUGGCCAGGCUGUGCCCCAGGAGCCCUGCUGUCACAGAACCCCACUCAGGGUCUUGGUGUGAGAUACUGAAAUGGAGGGGAUAGGUCUGAGUGUCACACUCGGCCCAGCCCCAUGGCCCAGUCUGCAGCUUCCACUGACAGCAGGGAUGGGCAGGAGACCCAAGGCACCCAGAGUUCCCUACACUGUGCCCACCCCGGAGCUCCCUGGACCCCUUGGUGCGCCGCCCAGCCAGGCCCGUCCCUACACCCGCUUGGCACAUCCUUAGUCAGCCUGCCUCGGGAUGGGGCAGGAGGGGCUCUCUGACCUGCAGCCCAGAGGGUCAGGGGACAAGGUGCUAGGCUCCUUGGAUGGCACAGAGUAGUGAGCACAGGAGCAGGGACCCCACCACUGGCUCUGGCUUCUUGCAAGGUGGGCCAGGUGGCUGCCUGGAGGCAGUGGCUUUGACAAAGCCCUAGAGGGCAGCAUCAGUGAAGUGGCAGGAGGCUGGGUCUGAUAAUGAGGUGCCAGGCUGGGAACCGUGUAGGUCUGGCAAAGUUUGGGGCAUGAUACCCCCAGUACCGUCCGCACUGACCACUGUGCUCCAGAUCCUGAAGUCUGCCCCUCUCAGAGCUCCCUGCCCUCAUGGUGGCCAGGCUGGGCCAACACCCUGGGGAACAGAUAGCCCCUGAGGGACUUGAGCUGGGGUCUGGCAUGGGGAGGCUGUGAACAGUCAGGAGGGCUGAAGCGAGAGGACCCCCUCUGUAGGCUUUGUCAGAGCCUUUGGCAGGCUCUGGGGCAGGACUCCAGGACCAGACUCCAUGGGCGGCAUCUCUGGAUGCCUGUGUCCUGGGCCCCUCUGAGUUCCAGAGCAUCAGGGACAGCAGCCACCUCCCCAGCUGGGUCCCCAGGGGCUGCUUCCUGCUGCUGAGCAGCCCUUGGGCUCUCACCGAGCGCUGACUUUAAUUCACUGACUGCACAGCUACUGUGUGCCAGGGGAGGGUGGGUGCCAGGGCCCACGGCACUCAUGGCCACACUUGGUAGGGGCGGUGACGGGAGGACUCUGUUUGGAUGCAGACGAGGGCACCCUGGGAUUGAGAUGGUUAGGACAGGAGGAGACCCUUCCCUAGUCCUGAGGAGUGGGAUGCACACAGCCUCAGCUCCUGUCCACCCUGUCCCCUGGUGGGCUAACGGAGUGUGACCAGGGCCAGCAUCGUGCACAGCAGAGCCCGGCCUCUGGGAUCCUCUCACUGGCCCUGGGUCCCUUCCCUGUAGAGCGUGGCCACCUUCGUCCCUCCACAGGGGCUCAGGAAGCUGGCGUUGGGGUCUUCUUGGGCCCCUGACUGCUUCCUGCAGGAAGCCCUGGUCUCGUCUCCUGAGCUCACUCCUGGGACCUCUGGGAACUUUGAGCACUGGGGCCCCUCCUGUUCAGCCAGGAUGUGGGCCCUGGGUGAGCUGCUGGGCUCCGGGGUUCCCCGUCAGGUCCCACAAUGGAGGUGGGGGGCACCCCCCAGGAACCACUCCUGCCAGGACCUUGAAGGGCUCCCCAGGCCUUAGGCAGGCGAUGCAAAGGUCUAAAGGACAGGCAGGGCUCGGCUGGGCGACAGAGGCUCCGCUGGGCCCAGGAUGAGAGGGAAAGAGGAGAGGGUGAGGAGAGGCGGCCAGGGAAGCCUGGCUGCUGGGGUGCAGCUGUCCUGCUUCCAGGUUCGGGCCGUGCCUCUCCUCUGCCCACCACCCAAGGAAGUGGGCAGCCCCUGUUCUGCCUGUGGAGCCUCAGUCCCCACCCCAGGGCUCCCGCUCUGGACCAUGCCACACGCGGGAGCCCGCCACCCACUCUGGCUCCCCCCGACCUGCCAAGGGGCCCUGGGAAAGUCACUCGGGCUCCGUGUCCAUGCAGCGGGGACUGAGUGUCACCCAAGAGAGUGUCCUGGCUGCCCACGUGGACGCGCUGUGGCUAGGUCCCGCAGGGGCUUGGAAGCCCGGGGCUGAGGGCUGCUGUGGAUAGGUGUGGAGUUGGUCUUGUUCCCCAGGCAGCGAGCGAGCAGCACCCGCAGGCCCGCCUGCUCUGACCCCCCAGCAGGAGUCCUCCAGAAGGGCCUGGCAGGAGAGCCAGGGAGACCCAGGGAGACCCAGGUCCUGUCCCCUCCCAGCCUGUCACCUCCAUGGUCGCGAGGCUCAGCCACACCAGCCACUUCCUAGGCUUGUCCGUCCCCGUGUGGGUUGCCUGGAUGGGGCAGCUCCCUCUGGCUCCUCUCACAGGCUUGUGUGUGGCAGGACACAGGGUGUGUGUGCGCGCGAGCCAAGCCUGUUCCCUGGGUUUAGUCCUCUCUCUGAGCCGGCAAUCCUGUCCUGUUGCUGUGUUGGGCACAGAGCCCAGGGCAGGGGUCGGCGAGUGCAGGGCAGAUGGAGGACAGACACCCCUUGGUCACUCUGGCCGCCCCAGCCUUGUCCUGGGACCCAGGCUCCACCCCCCUUCCCCCGGACAGGGCGCUGACUGGGGUAGGCGGAGCGUGGUGAUCACAGCUCUCAGCCAGCACUUCCUCCUGCUGCCACGCGGUGGCGCUGCUGGAAAACGCGCCGACUGCGGGGGGGAGACAGGUGGUGGCGAGUCUGGGCUGCCCGGACGGUGGCUCCACAGGGCGAAGCAGGUCCGAGAAGGCCCGGAACGGAAGGAGCCCCUCACCCUCCGGGGGCGGUGCCCAGCAUGCCCUCCCCGGGGGCGGGCACCUGGCCUUCCCGAGCCCUUCCUCCAUGAACCCAGCAGGUUUGACUGGAGUAGCUCGAAGACAAAUCAGGCGUGAUGGCACACGCCUCUUAUCCAGCACUCGGAUGGCCAGGUUCAAGCCCAGCCUGGGCAACUUAGCCAGAACCUACCGCAAAAAAAGGGCUGGGGAUCUAGCUUAGUGCAAAGGCCCUAAGCUCAAUCUCCAGUUGUCCAGCCCCCUCACAAACAUCAGACACACAACAUAAGACGCGCGUCCACUAUAUAUCGUGUAAUAAAGUCUCAUUAUGUUCAUCACAUAACACCUAACAGCAUACCGUAAAUUAAUACUGUGCACUCAUUAUACCUACAGGUCAAUACCUAUUAUGUAUCAUUUGUGUCCAAUAUUUUUAAGUUCAUUUCUCCUUUAGAGUUUAUUUUCAUUAUUUAUUUGGAGGCAGGGUUUUGCUAUGUAGUCCACGCUCACUUUGAACUCAUGACAAUUCUCCUGCCUAGCCACCCCAGCGCUGGGAUUUCAGGUGUGGGUCAGCCACACCUGGCUUCUUUUGGAUGUUAAAGGGAGUGACAUGUGGGUCCCUCGCUGUCCCUUGGGCCCCAGCUGUGCCCACUGAUGAACAGGUGGGGCCUGCUGUGUGACUCUGAGCCCCUGUGCCUCUCCUCGGUGCUGGUCCUGGACGGCAGUCCUGUCCCUUGGAGCUCUACGGGCGGGGUCUGCUGGGCCGUCGUUCCGGCCUACACACAAGGGAGCCCGGCCCCGGCAGACUCCCAGGGAGCAGCAGUAGAGCUGUGCCGCUGCGGGCUCCGCCGAGGUCCUGGCCCCAUUCUCCUUCCUGGUAGGGCUGUUCCUGGCAGCUCUCAGGGCUCCACGCAGCCUCAGCUUCCAGGUCUGGGCUGGGCCAGGCCACUCCCUGCAUCGGGCAGCAGGUGGCGCCUGACAUCCCGUAAAUCUGACACCACCCUCUCAAACGGGCUUCUGAGCUCACACUGGAAGUCAGGGACCUGCCCUGUGCCCGAGGCCCUGGGACAUCCACAGGCGGCUGCUGGGUGAGGGACAACUCCUGCCCUCAUUCCCUCCUUUGGGGCAUCCUGACACCCACCAGCUGAGAGGUCCUGGAGGUCAGGGAGGGACACACAGGAGCUGGCAUCAUCUCCUCCAGAAAGCCACCAGGUGCAGGGCUAGGUUUGCCUCCUCAGGGGCCCGGCUUGGGGCUGCGCCUCCAUGGAACAGGGGGGAGACGGGAGGUGCCCUGGGGUGACAGGGGUGGGCCAGGGCAGCAUGGGCAGGGGGCUUAAGGCAGGCAGAGGCCGCUGUCUGGAGGCUGAGGCCUAGUACUGGUAAGGGGACAGAAAUGACCACCGACUGAGCAGCCUAGAGGAGGGAGGUGGCCUGUGCCUGUCCGUCACCCACACUGGCCCUGGAGGAAAUGACAAUGACCAGCCCCUGGCUCGGGGGCCGGGCUCCAGCCCCUGCUUCUCUCAUUCCUUGUCAGAACAGCGCUGUUCCCAGCACGUGGCUGCUGUGGUGGGCCCCCAGGGAUGUCACGGGGCUCCUCAGGGAAGGCAGUAGGUUGUAUAGUUAUCUUCCAAGGGGCGACAUCACUGCCCGGAAACCACACAACCUACUACCUCACCCCGCCGGUGCCCGCUCCCACCAGGAGGGCCUGCCCUGCGCCCUGCUUUCCAACCCUGCCCUGUGGGCCUUGGCCACUGGCACUGCAGGGCCAGGUGGGCGCAGGGCAGGAGGUGGAGACAAGGGUGGUCUCAGUGAGUGCCCCUCUCGCAUGCUAUCAGGCAAAGGCCCCUGGGCUGCCUUCCCUGCCCGGGAAGAGCCACUGCCCUCACCAGAGGCCUAGCACUAGUGGGGCAGGCUGGGCAGAUGCCAGGUAUCAGGACGGACACCCUUGGGGUGGGCGGGGCCAACCCGCAGAGCCUCCCAAGCCGGUUGCACCUCUCGCUGCUCUGUAGCCAUGACCCCCCAUGACCCCCACAAGUCCCAGUCAGGGCCCAGGGCUGUGUCCACCGCAGAUAUCACGGCCACUUCAGGAAAGACAGUAGAUUGUAUAGUUAUCCACAGCAGGGCGGAGCCCCAAACUAUACAACCUACUACCUCACCCCAAAGGGCUGUCAGUCUCUCGCCGGCAGGGACUCAUGGCUUCCGGGUGCCUCCUGGAGCAACAAGCGGGGUAAGGGCGAGCCAGGUGUGGAUCCUGGGCAUUGCUGGGGACAGAAGGCCACGAGACAUUGCCAACCCACGUGGGAGGGGAAGGAAAAGACUGGGUGCUUGGGAGGCCAGUCAUAGGCCUCCGGACCACUGCUAUCCAGACAGGGGUGGCCACCGUGUCCCCGAGAGACUCCACCCACCUGGGAGGCACCAAGAGGAGGCUGUCACCUCCCACUUGGCUGUCACAGGGUGUGGCACUGGGACUCUGGGUGGGCGGUGGGCUUUUCCCCCAUAGGGCUCUGGUCCUGCCCCUGCCACCCACAGUGGCCUGGGCAGGCCUUGUGGCAGGACAGGCACAGGACGCUGCUCCUUCUUUCUGGAGCUCGCCUGGCUGCCCAGGGAGGUGGCACUGCAGACCCUGCUGGACAUCAGGGCCUGGUGCCUGUCCUCCAGGGAACAGGGCUCAGGGUGCCUGGCACAGGGAGGUGUAGAGAAGGCGCUGCUGGGUGCCAGGGCAUGGAGUCCUCCCAGGUCCUCCCUGCCCCAGGGCUUGCAGAGCCCUUCAGAAGAGGGGCUGUGUGCUGUCUGGCUCGCUGUCCCCGGGUGCAGGGCAGCACCGUACCCUGGACAGCUUCAGGCGCAUGGCACCAUGCCCCGUCCCAGGUCCCUCAGUCAGUGGGGUGAGCACCAGGGCUCUCACUCAGUGCUGCUAACCCCCCUGCCCCAUGCAGGCCCCGUCCAGUAAUGGUGACAGCCACCCCACGGCUCUAUGAGGCCCCAGAAGGAAAUCUGAAGGGACUGGACCCUUGGUCAGCAGACAGGACUGGCUGUCCCCAAAACCUGUCCAAGCAGAGCCAGAGGUGGGGUCUGGGAGGAGAGUGACAUUGCGUCUCCUGACCCUCUGGCAAUGCAGAGUGAAGGGGGCAUCCUGGCACUGCCCAGCCACCCUGCUUCGAGACCAGCUGUUAUGGUCUGGUCACCCGGGAGGAUGCCAGCUCCUGGUCCUGGCUGUCUGGGAACGUCGUCUGCCCCUGUGUGGGCCCCUGGAAGCGGCCAGAGGAAGGCACUGGGGUGGCACCUAGACCUAGGUCCCUCCCUGCUCCUGGGAUCUGAACCAGCCUGCCAGGCCAGCUGUGGGGCAGGACUGCCUGCCAGGCAGUCCUGGCUGCCCUCACUGCGGGCUCUGGGCACCCACAUCUCCCACCUUGGUUGGCUGUGGUCUCCUCACCCACGGUGGGGGUCUGCACUGACACCCAAGAGCCUGACCCACCUACCCUGCCCACCAAGGCACUAGCCCAGAUAUGACUCAGUUUCCCUUGUGUGGGGUUCCCUCUCGCCCAUGCCAGACUCACCUGGGUGGGUCCUCAGCAAGCUGACUGGGGGGCUGAGAGUUGGAGGGGCGGGGAGAAGAGGCUGCCCAGGGACCCCACCCCCAAGGGCAGCCACGCUGGGGGAGCCUGUGGGACAGCAGGGGCCAUGGCUCUGAGCACAGCCCCCGUGAGGUGGCCCGGGGCUCUCUACUUUCCAGAGAAGGUUGAUGGGCUGGCUGGAUGGCUGCUGAGGACGGAAGCUCCACUCGGCCACCUUUCAGACCUGCUGGGUUUUCAGAAACAAAAACAACAAGCACCAAGCGUCAGCCUCCAAAGAGACAGAGGCCUGGGGAAGGCACACAGCACUGGGCUGCUGGGUCAUGCUGGGAUGCCGGACCACUCAGGGACCCCAAAAGCCAGUGCAGAUGGGACCAGCCCAUUUGGCUGUGAGGGUGCAGCAAGGCCCCGAGGUGGCACCCCUGCCUUGAGCACUGGCCCUGCUUGCGCCCCUAGACACCUGGCCGCCCAUCGCGGCUACCACCUGCCCUGUGUGCCGCUCCUUCCCACCUCGUCCUGCCAGCCUGGAGUGGCCGAGUGCCCCUCCCUCCCCACCUCCCGGCCUUUGCGCCCCCGUCCCAAAGCCAGGUGCUGCUGGCCCACUUCCCGCUCCAAGGCCCCCUGGCCCUAGGGUCCCUGCUCCGCCCCAGGGCUCCGGGCCCAGGCUGCCCUCCACAUCAGGAUGGUGCCAGGGCCCCAAUCCUGUGGCCUCAGGGUGGUGCCCACGCCACUCUCCCCACCUGGGGGCGCCACCUGGGAUCCGGAUGACUCCUUACACAAGGACCAAUCUUGGGGAGUGGGGGCAGCCGUUUCUGAACCAGUGGGGAAAAGAUCCCAAUGUCAGGUCUGGGGUGGGGGCUGAGAUGUUCCAGGUCCCCCCUGGCCUGCAGCCCAGCCCAUGACGUGACCUCCAGCUUGCUCCUGGGAACACCACAGAGACGUCCCCUCCCUGGGGAUGGCGGAGAAGGGCCCCAGGGAGGGCCAGGCAGCAGGGUGGAUAGUGCCUUAAUUUUUUUUGGUACCAGGGAUAGAACUUGGAACCUUGUGCUCUCGAGGCAGGCGGUGGAACCUCUGAGCUAAAUCCCUGGCCCGAGCCAAGUGAAUGGCGAGCCCUGAGUGGAGCCGCCAGGGAGCAAGUAGUCAGCAGACGCCCCGCCAUCUGCCACCUCCCGGGCCCUGCCCAACCCCACGAUGUCUGCCUGUGGGCAGGGUGCCGGGCAGCCAGGCUGGGGAGGAACGGGCCAUCCAGGACAGGUGCUCGGAGGCCUCAGCAGGCAGGUGGCCCUUUCAGGGCUGGGCGGAUGUCUGGAGUGAGCAAGGCAGACAGACAGUCUCACCCUGAAGUCACCUCGGGCUUGGCUCAGGGCCACCAGGAGCCAGAGCCCCCCCUCCCCCCCCGGCCCCCUGCCCGCCCUGAUUAGGUUUCUCCCAUAAAGCGGCCAGUGUUUCUGCUCAGCAAGCCGUGCCAACAAUGGCGUCUGGGAAGGAUGGAGGGCUGGCAUCCGGGGCUCCCUGCGCACAGCCCAUAAAGUUAACGAGACGCAAGCCCCGGUCAGGCUGAGGCUCAGAUGUGGCUGGCCAGGGGACCCCGAAGUGGGCCACGCCCAUGGGGCCAUUCCAGGCUGUGGCAGUUUAAGGGGCCCCACACUACGUCUUCGUGUAAGAUUAAGAAAAAUAACAUCCAAAGCAAAAAGGACCAUCCUGUAAUAAUAUCAAGCUUACACAGAGAUGGCUCAGGCUCGUUCUUGGGCCCAGGUGGAGUGUGGCUGGGGGGCACUGGCCAGGCCAGGAGCAGGCACCCAGAGGCCUUGAGGCCCCCAGAAGCGCAUCCUGGGGAUACAGGGGCAAAUGAGAGCCAGGAUCUGGCAUCACAGACCCUGGAUGGGACCCAUGGCCGGCCAGCCUUCCGGGGCUGCUGGGACCCAGGUCCCCUCCCCGGAGUUGCUGAGCCUGGCACAGGGCAGGGAAUGCCACUUGUGAGUCUGUCCCCACCAGGCUCUCUCUUUUCCUGUCUCUGGGGCCCCCAGGCGUGGGAGAGGGUGGGCCGGGCAUAAGCAGCGGCCACAAUAGCCCGAGCGAAUCUGACAGCUGUGAGCUGAGGAGAAGCCUGGAUGACAGGUUUUGGGGCACAGUUCCGACCCUUGCAAGCAACCAGCUGCUGGCAGGCUGGUGGCCCUCUGGGCCUCGGUGGUGUCCUCUGUAAACCGGUAAGGAUGCCAGCUCCAAGGGCUGUUCAUGGCAGCAAGGAAGUCAGGAAUCAUAUCCCGGGGUCAGGUCCCAGGAUUCACUCGGUGCCCAGAGGGGAAGGUGGAAUCGCAUAGCCUCUCUGUCCCCAACGCGCUUAACCACCAGGCAAUCACGGUAGCCUCCAAGGCUCAAUUUAUCUCCAACGAUUCUCAUCUCCAUCUCUCCAUCCUUGAGGCUGGGGCCUGGCCCUUCUUUGGGGGUGUUUCCUGCCUGUGGAAGCCUGGGCUCCUGUGUUUCCUCCCAGGAGGCUCCAGGCCUGGUGUGACAUGUGUGACAGUCCUGGCCUUGGCAGGUGGGCAGUGGGUGGCAUCCGACCAUCCCGUCCUUGGUGGGGUCUUUAGGAGGGACCAGGAGCAAAAAAGUCACCUCCAGGUGGCAGAAGGCUCUGUCUGGGAACCACAGCGGGCAUCUUUGAAGGGCCUGAGCCACUCAGCGGUCUGAGGCAGGGCCCUGAUGUACACCAGUGACCUCCUCCACAGCAAAGACCUGACCCAUGCCACAGCCACCGGCCACAUCUCGUCACUCCUGGAGAGACACCUUUACCAGAUGCUCCCACACCGUCCUUCACGUAGAUGCUCCCCCUGACCUCUGAGAGGCUUUAGUGUCUGCUUGGCGGGGAAGCCUCAGUGGUGGCAAGGGGCUGGGUGGGACUGGGUGAGGGGCCAGGUCUCCCGGGCUGCCUUGCCAAGUGGCUGUGCCAAGCCCAGGGCAGCCAUGGCCAAGACCAGGCAAGGCGGGGGCUGGUGCUGGGCUCCGUCCAGGCUGCCCAGGGCAAGCAGUGGGCAGGGGUCUCCCUCCUCCUUCCCCUAAGGCCACUGCCCACUUCAGUUACAAAAUGGCGGAGGGCUGCAGCAGCCAUUUUGUGGAGCUUGGGAAGACAAAGGCGGCCGAAGCCAGAGGGCGGGGAACAGUGGACAGCGGGCAGAGAGAAGGAGGAGGAGGGACAUCCGCUCCAGAAACUGGGCACUGCACUGUACUGAGGCCUGGGAUGGCCUGGCCAGGGAGCAGGGCAGGCAGGCCUUCUAGAACCUACCUCCUGCCCAAGAGCACUGAAGCUCUCCACCGUGGACUGCCCAGCCUGGAUUAAAAGUUCUUCACCUUGGCCUUAGGGAAGGUGGGCUCUCUUUCCCUAGGUUGGUGGCCUUCAGCCUGGUGGCCCAAGGGCUGGCCUAUACUCCAGGGACUGAUGCUGCCCACCGGCCCAAGGACAGCCAACAGGACUUGUCAUACCAGAGACUAGUGCAGCUGCUGGGUGACCAUCAAGGGGAUGCUAGGAGGACCUCUCUCCACCUUCUGGCUUCAGCCAUGGUGUGGCACUGGGAGCCUGCCUAUGUGUGUCAAGCCACUCUGUCCCGGCCACUUCCCAAAUAUGUGACCCCCACAGACCCGCAUCUCCUUCCCUGACCCUUGGUCAUGAGACUACAGCUCCCAACUAAGACUGCUGCUGUCACAUCCUGUCCAGAGCAGAGAGUGGGCACUCAGUGAACCCACAGAACCCAUAAAGGAUGACCCUAGGUGGCUGCAGGGAUGUCUUCCUCCCCUGCUCUGCCCUGGAUGUAGCAGAGACAGACAAGACAGCUCUAGGCCCCCUCCUGGCCCAUGCAGUGGAGGAAAAAUCCCACUCUGCAGACAGGUAAACUGAGCCCUGUGGGGUGGUAUGGCCAGCAGUUGAGCCCUGCAGGGCAGUUUCAGAGGGGCAGAUGAUCCUCACAGACCCAGAGACUCAGGACCAGCUGAUUCACAGCGGGGGACAGGGUCUGUGUCAGAAAACAAGAGGGUAGACUUGGGGAGAAGCCCAUGGUUUCCUUACAGUGUGGGGUUGCUAUGGCAACAUGGGCAGCAUUGAGGCAGGUGCCACCACCAGCCCGUCACUUGUGCAGCCACAGUUGCCCUGCCAACUCCCAGGAGUGGAGAGUAUGCUGUGGGCCUCCCCUAGGCUCUUCUCCUCAGUGGGGGGCAGGUCCACCUCACAGUCACGGGGUGUUGGGUUCAAAUCACGAUCCCAAUAUGGCUGCCAACAUGUGAGCCAGUGCCGGGGCACACAUGUCCCCCAGGGAAGGCCAGUAUGGAUGCUCAUCACUCCGGUGGCUUCUGCACAGUCACACAGUGGUGUGGGAGGGUCAGUCUUCCCCAGUGUCUGGGGUCAGGGAACAGAGACCCAGAAGCACUGAGCUGACGGAGGUCACACAGCUGCCAGGGGCCUGGAUGCUUCUGCCCAGGGUGACCCCAGGAAGCCCCACACCAAGGAGGCCCCAUCCCACCUCAGGGCCCUCUGGGUCUGGCAGGCACCUGUGUGGUGCGGGGACCCCGACACUGGCUUUUGUCCACAUUUUCCUGGGACAGAAAGACCAAGCACACAGUAUUUUUAAAGGCAAAUAGGGCAAACUGACUGUCUGGUAUUAGAGCAGACCUGUCCCUCCCAGCCUGCCCGGAGGCCCCUUGGUCAACUGCCCUCGAUCCUUCACCCACAGAUGAGAUCGGUAGCUCACCUGCCGUCUGGGGUCCCCCUGAGACCCUGCCCAGGCUGAGGGUGUGGUGGGGUUCCAGCCCCUGCCCUCAUUCUAGCCUUGACUUCCUGCCCACCCCCCCACCUCUGUCUCCCCAGCUCCUGACACAUGGGUGGCAGUGAUGGCUGGGGACCCCAGGGACAGGUGACUCCCCUCAGGCCAGCAUGGUGGCUGCGGCUCAGUGUGGGUUGUGUGCCUACCACAGGCACCAAGUUUGGAUAGGCGCUGCCAGCCAGGGAGCGAGUGACAACAGCCGGAAGUGGGUAGGGGACAGGGCCAGCAGGGCUGCCAUGGUGCCCCCCCCCAUCCUGGGUCCAUCUGAGCAGACUUCAAGGACAGCAAGUUCAAGUCAAUUAAAAACCAUGCCCCGCACACCUGUGAGCCCAGCUCCUUGGGAGGCUGAGGCAGGAUGAUUGCAAAUUCAAGGCCAUCCUGUGCUACUUAGCCAGAUCUUAUCUCAAAAUAAAAAUUUUUUAAAGGGCUGGGGCCAUGGCUUAGUGGUAGAGUGUUUGCCUAGCAUGCACGAGCCCCUGGGGUUCAAUCCUUAGUACUGGAAAACACAACCAAAGCAGCCGGUCACGUGUGUCACAGCCCUCUGGGACCCUGUCCUGGUCCAGGAACUAUGCCCUUGUGGCUCCCUGCAUGCGAGAGCUUGGUGGUCAGAGACCUGGGGUGCACUUGUGCCUGAGUCCACAUGAAGGGCCCACCUGGGUCAUGGUUUUACCUGCCAUUGUGCCCACAGGACACCGGGGACCAUGGGAGCAUGCCUGGGUCCGUGUGAGGCUGGGGGUCUAGGGCAGACCCUGCUGGGGAGGGUGCCCAGCACAGCCCAGGCCCCAGACCCCUCAGGACACUGGGCUGCUGCACUGAGUCCUAGGCGGCACCACAGAGAAGGCAAACUGGCCGGGCCACUGUCCCAGACCUGCUGAUGGCCAAGCUGGAAAGGGUUCUAGGCCUUUUCCCCGGCAGAGCCCUGGGCCGGCCCUGACUUCUCAGAAACCCUGGUCCCGCUGCUGCAGAGAGGCACCAGGGGUGGCGGUCGGCACCCAGCCCAGCCAGGAUGGGGCACAUGGGAGUCCCCAGGCCCACGGGACACAUGGACAUCACCCUCAGGGGCCUGGUUCAGGCAGUGGCCAGGACGGGCUGACAGCUCCCAUUUCCAGCUGUACCACGGGCACUGUACCGACCUGGGCUUCAGUGUCCCUGUCCCUGGGGAAGUGGCCAGCAGCCGGCAAGACCUGGAACGAAGAGAGUACAGUCAGGCUUGGGUGCGGCCUGGUGUGAGCGUGCCCCGCCCUCAUUCACCCGCUGACUCUGGCUACCUGGUCCUGAGAGCCCUGAGGCUUGGGCCCCAUGCCUGAGCCACCUGGAAACUCUUGCCCAGGUGGCUCAAGGGCCAGGAAGCCACCUUGUCUGAGGGACAUUGUGUCCAGACCCUGUGCCUCAGACAUGUUGGUUCCCUGGGCCAGGCCCUAAGGGGUGCUAGGUGGUAGCAGUGUUUUGACCCGGUGAUUGUAAGUGACAGGCUUUGCCUGGUGUGGCCUGUUCAGGGUUGGGCUUUCAGGACAUGAAAGGAGCUCCCCCUCUCCCUCCCUGUCUUCCCUGACUAGGGGUUGGGGACAUCUGGCACUCAGUAUGGGUCCAUCUUCUUUCACUAUCAUUGCUGGGGUCACUUCUCCCCUAAUGUCACUUACUACUGUGACACCUUUCCCUUUUUGCUUUGGCAGCCAGGAAGCUCAGAGCUGAGCUUACAGGUCUCCACCAGC